UGUGAACUCGCCACAGAACUUCGAUGCCACAGUGGCAUCAAUUAAAGAACAAGUGCGCAAUGAGAUGCGCGAAGAGUUCAAUGCAUGGGCGAAGCAAAUGAAUUUGCCGACCUUGCCUUUUUCCUCGACAACACCGGCCGACUCAAGUAGCCACCCACGAAGAGAAGGAGAACAGGAGAUAAAUGCACGCGAGGAGGUACGUGAUUAGAAUUCAACUCUAUAAGUUUUGAUAUGUUGAGUUACGUGGGUACGGUUCUAAUUAAUGUUUCACUAUCAAUACACUAUUGCAGAUUGGUACUCCUUCACAUGCGAACUCAAGGGGGCUUGAUACUCUGACACCUCAUGACUUUCCUAUUCUACAGGAAGAGACCGUUGUGAACUUCUUCACCCGGGCGAAUCAUAUGAUGGACCUUUGAAAGUUGUUGCCUAUGGUAGUGCACAACCGGCCGAACAAGGCACGGUCCAUCUUCGACCUCUUCUGCCUGAGCAUUAUUCUGUCGGGAUCCAUUAUGUGGUUCCCGGGUUCGAGGAGAUCUUAAUACCUGUGCCCGUGGAGGAGGAUGAGUUCACUACACUCUGGGCAGCAAAAGGUAGUUUUGUGCAAUGGCCAACUGCUUGGAUACGGUUGAUGAACCAGCCAUCGAAGAAAAGUCAAACUCCAAAGAAGAGGGUGGAGGGGCCAAAGAACAGGAGUGAACAUGGCUCGGUGAGUGGAAAAGCGUCGAUGAAGAGCCCUUCACGAUGUUCAGCUACGCAAGCUACUCCAUUAGUUGAAGACACGGUGCUUCAAUCGCUAUCUCAGGAAUUAGCUUAUUUGCACA